rnacentral:rRNA from 1 species
UACGUAGGGUGCAGGCGUUAAUCGGAAUUACUGGGCGUAAAGCGUGCGCAGGCGGUCUUUUAAGUCAGAUGUGAAAUCCCCGGGCUCAACCUGGGAAUUGCAUUUGUGACUGCACGGCUAGAGUGUGUCAGAGGGGGGUAGAAUUCCACGUGUAGCAGUGAAAUGCGUAGAGAUGUGGAGGAAUACCGAUGGCGAAGGCAGCCCCCUGGGAUAACACUGACGCUCAUGCACGAAAGCGUGGGGAGCAAACAGG